rnacentral:lncRNA from 1 species
GGGGCGUCACGUGGGGCUGGCGGAAGCGCCCGGCGGGGUGGGCGCGCCCGGCCUGCCGCCGAGACUCGGCUACGGCACCGGGAGUCGGUGGUGGCGCCGGGACCCCGGGUCCCCCCGUGGAGUCUUCGCUCAGAACAGCUGCCACCUCAGGCCGAGAUGAGGAGCCGCUCCGAGUAGCCCCCGCCGCCGCUGGGAGGACCCGCCGCGUCCCGGGGCAGCGCCGCGCAGCAGCCGGUGAGUCGGGAGGGAGGGAAGCCGGAGCGGGCGGGGCGGGGCAGGCUAAGCCCUGACCCUGAGGUGGAGGAGGCUUCAGGGAGGUGAGCGUUUAGGUCCCAUUUUCCCUUUUGAAAACUGACGUUGACCUGGCGAAGAGCCUGGGGUUGGGGGGACAGGCACCUGCCGGCUGGCGGGGGUCCCAGCUUCCUUGACCUCCUCACCGCAGGGCGAGUUCCCGUCCGUUCUCGCUCCCAGAUGAGCAUGUUCUCUUUUAAGUUGUAUUUUUUUUUUUGAAAAUAGUGUAAAAUUAAAAAGAUAUACUGCUGUAGAGCGCAGGGAACUCUAUCUAAUCACUCGUGAUGGAGGGUAAUGUGAGUACAGGCGAGUGUGCGUGUAUGUCUAACUGGGUGGCCUGGCUGUUCAGCAGAAAUUGACAGAACAUUGUAAAUCAGCUCUAAUAAACAAAAUUGAAAAGCGGUUCAGAGGAGAGAAUGUGAGAGGCCGCCCUCCCCCUCUUGUCCUCCCUGCUGCGGGUUUUCUGCCCAGAGCCAGUUUCUCCGCGCACCCGAGUGUCCCACGGUGUGUCUGUGUCUGUGUCUGUGUGUGUACAUCUACGUUUUCGUUUUCGCUACUCCGGAUGCUUAAUAAUAAAACACUGGUCUGCACCUGGCUUUCCACCCAACAGUAAAUCUUUAAUAUCAUUUAAUAUGAACUGUAGAGACCAUCUGUGGGUAAUUUUAUUUUCUCUUUUUGUCUUUUUAGGGCCACACCCUCGACAUAUGGAGGUUCCCAGGCUAGGGGUCAAGUUGGAGCUGUAGCUCUCGGCCUCCACCAGAGCCACAGCAACGCGGAAUGCGAGCCAGAGCCACGUCUGCGACCUGCACCACAGCUCACGGCAACGCCGGAUCCUUAACCCACUGAGCAAGGCCAGGGAUUGAACCCGCAACCUCAUGGUUCCUAGUCGGAUUUGUUUCCGCUGUGCUAUGACAGGAACUCCAGGAAUCUUUCAGGAAAAUUCACAUGGUUCACAUUUUGGGUGGUAGAAAAAGUUGUAGCAUGAAAAGUUCACCUGUACCUGGAGGUGGGUUUCCAAGGAGGCUGUCGGAGUCCAGGCGGGACCUGGGCAGUGUGUGCACCUGGUCAUGUGUUCUGUUUGUUUUUUACGUGGUCAUGUGUCUUUGUAAAUUUUUACAAAAGUAAGAUUUUUUUUUAAAUUUAAACAAUUUUAAGCAUUGCGAUGUCAUUGACAUAUCACAUUACAUUGGUUUCAGGUGUACUAAUGGUUCUGUAUUUAUAUGCACUGGAAAAUAGGUGAGACACUAGUGUAUUCUUUUCCUGAAAGAGGGCAUCCGAAUUGGGGUGAAUGCAGGCCUUAGGGAGUCCAGCCCUGCCCUGUCCCCUCCUGCCCCCUCAGCCCUCAGUUUUGCUUGGCGCCUGCCUCCUGGGGACCUUUUCAGAGCUAUCAUGCAUUUAGCAGUGGACACAUACUGACCUGUCCUUUCCCGUUUGGGUUUGUUUGCUUCCAUGUAAAAGGCAGAAUGUUUUUUUUUUUCCUUUUUUUUUGGUCUUUUUUUUGUUGUUGUUGUUGCUAUUUCUUGGGCCGCGCCCACGGCAUAUGGAGGUUCCCAGGCUAGGGGUUGAAUCGGAGCUGUAGCCAUCGGCCUACGCCAGAGCCACAGCAACUCGGGAUCUGAGCCGCGUCUGCAAUCUACACCACAGCUCACGGCAACGCCGGAUCGUUAACCCACUGAGCAAGGCCAGGGACCGAACCCGCAACCUCAUGGUUCCUAGUCGGAUUCGUUAACCACUGCGCCACGACGGGAACUCCAAGGCAGAAUGUUUUAUAGACUGUUUUGUACCUUUUUAAAAUCGCUAAACACAUGUGGGAGCUCAUCUGUCAUCAACAUGUAAAGAGUUUCCUUUUUUUUUUUUUUGUCUUUUUGCCAUUUCUUGGGCCUCU